rnacentral:rRNA from 1 species
CCCCGGGUAUUGCCCAGUAACGGCGAGUGAAGCGGCAAGAGCUCAAAUUUGAAAGCUGGCUCCUUCGGGGUCCGCAUUGUAAUUUGUAGAGGAUGCUUCGGGAGCGGUCCCCAUCUAAGUGCCCUGGAACGGGACGUCAUAGAGGGUGAGAAUCCCGUAUGGGAUGGGGUGUCCGCGCCCGUGUGAAGCUCCUUCGACGAGUCGAGUCGUUUGGCUUGUGGUGA